GACGAAGGGGGCUAGCGUUGUUCGGAAUUACUGGGCGUAAAGCGCACGUAGGCGGACUAUUAAGUCAGGAGUGAAAUCCCGGGGCUCAACCCCGGAACUGCCUUUGAUACUGGUAGUCUCGAGUCCGGAAGAGGUGAGUGGAAUUCCGAGUGUAGAGGUGAAAUUCGUAGAUAUUCGGAGGAACACCAGUGGCGAAGGCGGCUCACUGGUCCGGUACUGACGCUGAGGUGCGAAAGCGUGGGGAGCGAACAGG
rnacentral:rRNA from 1 species